AAAAUUCAGGUGACAGCAGAUAA
rnacentral:misc_RNA from 1 species